rnacentral:rRNA from 1 species
GGCUUAACACAUGCAAGUCGAGGGGCAUCAGGAUGAAAGCUUGCUUUCUUUGCUGGCGACCGGCGCACGGGUGAGUAACACGUAUCCAACCUGCCCUUUACUCGGGGAUAGCCUUUCGAAAGAAAGAUUAAUACCCGAUAGCAUAAUGAUUCCGCAUGGUUUCAUUAUUAAAGGAUUCCGGUAAAGGAUGGGGAUGCGUUCCAUUAGGUUGUUGGUGAGGUAACGGCCCACCAAGCCUUCGAUGGAUAGGGGUUCUGAGAGGAAGGUCCCCCACAUUGGAACUGAGACACGGUCCAAACUCCUACGGGAGGCAGCAGUGAGGAAUAUUGGUCAAUGGGCGCUAGCCUGAACCAGCCAAGUAGCGUGAAGGAUGAAGGCUCUAUGGGUCGUAAACUUCUUUUAUAUAAGAAUAAAGUGCAGUAUGUAUACUGUUUUGUAUGUAUUAUAUGAAUAAGGAUCGGCUAACUCCGUGCCAGCAGCCGCGGUAAUACGGAGGAUCCGAGCGUUAUCCGGAUUUAUUGGGUUUAAAGGGAGCGUAGGUGGACUGGUAAGUCAGUUGUGAAAGUUUGCGGCUCAACCGUAAAAUUGCAGUUGAUACUGUCAGUCUUGAGUACAGUAGAGGUGGGCGGAAUUCGUGGUGUAGCGGUGAAAUGCUUAGAUAUCACGAAGAACUCCGAUUGCGAAGGCAGCUCACUGGACUGCAACUGACACUGAUGCUCGAAAGUGUGGGUAUCAAACAGGAUUAGAUACCCUGGUAGUCCACACAGUAAACGAUGAAUACUCGCUGUUUGCGAUAUACAGUAAGCGGCCAAGCGAAAGCAUUAAGUAUUCCACCUGGGGAGUACGCCGGCAACGGUGAAACUCAAAGGAAUUGACGGGGGCCCGCACAAGCGGAGGAACAUGUGGUUUAAUUCGAUGAUACGCGAGGAACCUUACCCGGGCUUAAAUUGCAGUGGAAUGAUGUGGAAACAUGUCAGUGAGCAAUCACCGCUGUGAAGGUGCUGCAUGGUUGUCGUCAGCUCGUGCCGUGAGGUGUCGGCUUAAGUGCCAUAACGAGCGCAACCCUUAUCUUUAGUUACUAACAGGUUAUGCUGAGGACUCUAGAGAGACUGCCGUCGUAAGAUGUGAGGAAGGUGGGGAUGACGUCAAAUCAGCACGGCCCUUACGUCCGGGGCUACACACGUGUUACAAUGGGGGGUACAGAAGGCAGCUAGCGGGUGACCGUAUGCUAAUCCCAAAAUCCUCUCUCAGUUCGGAUCGAAGUCUGCAACCCGACUUCGUGAAGCUGGAUUCGCUAGUAAUCGCGCAUCAGCCACGGCGCGGUGAAUACGUUCCCGGGCCUUGUACACACCGCCCGUCAAGCCAUGGGAGCCGGGGGUACCUGAAGUACGUAACCGCAAGGAUCGUCCUAGGGUAAAACUGGUGACUGGGGCUAAG